AUGAACAAGCUCCAGACCAAGAAGCCCUGGAACCUGUCCUCCUCCUUCGGGCGUGCCCUCCAGCAGAGCACCCUGAAGGCCUGGUCCGGCAAGACAGAGAACGAUGAGAGGGCCAGGGCGGCGUUCCUGGUGAGGUGCAAGGCCAACUCCGAGGCCACCCUUGGCACCUACAAGGGUGGCGCCACCCUCGGAGAGGGUGCCUCGGAGAGCCUUCACGUCAAGGACUAUAGAAGCAUGGUGGGACCAGUCAGAAAAUUAGUGGGAGCAAACCGACAUAAGACUAUAGCUAUAUUCUAUUUUCUUAUGAAAGAACCCAACAAGCUAGUUGUCCGUUUGGACCUUUAA
rnacentral:rRNA from 1 species